GCUCAGUAGCUCAGUUGGUUAGAGUGCCGGCCUGUCACGCCGGAGGUCGAGGGUUCGAGUAUCGGUUCAAGUCCGAUCAUCAGCUCCA
rnacentral:tRNA from 1 species